CUUCAUGCAUAGAGGUGCAUCAUGGGAAUGAUGACAUCGCUCCAUCUUACCUGAUGCUGGGCCCGUGUAACAGAAUGAAGGCUCUUCCCGCUGUCCCAUUCCUCGGACCUCUGCCUCUUGCUUCAGAUGUCACCCUUCAGAUGUCAUUCCAGCAUCCUGCUUCCUGAAGCACCUGAGCUGAUAGAGCUGAGUCUCCCUUUAACCUUGUUAGCCCUCUUCUACCUCCCCCGUCCCGUCUGUCCUGCCUGGCACAAACUCGGCCGUGUGAGAGUUCGCGUUGCUUUACGGAGAACUCAAAUGCUGUGUAGGCAACUCCAGACUAAAUAAAAAUGGAAUUAGG
rnacentral:lncRNA from 1 species